GCAAUCCUUGAUGUACUUCUACGUAGUAGGAAUCCUUGAAUUCUUGCUAAACAGCAGGAAUCCUUGAUCUAUUCUAGACAGUAGGAAUCCUUGAAUUCUUGCUAAAAAGCAGGAAUCCUUGAACUAUUCUAGACAGUAGGAAUCCUUCAAUCCUUGCUAAGAUGAGGAAUCCUUGGUCUACUUCUAGGCGCCAUAGCAAUCCUUGAUGUACUUCAACGUAGUAGGAAUCCUUGAAUUCUUGCUAAACAGCAGGAAUCCUUGAACUAUUCUAGACAGUAGGAAUCCUUGAAUCCUUGCUAAGAUGGGGAAUCCUUGGUCUACUUCCAGGCAGUAGGAAUCCUUGAACUCCUACUGUACAAUAGAUUUUUUUUUAAUUUAUUUUUUACCGCCAUAGCAAUCCUUGAUGUACUUCUACGUAGUAGGAAUCCUUGAAUUCUUGCUAAACAGCAGGAAUCCUUGAUCUAUUCUAGACAGUAGGAAUUCUUGAAUUCUUGCUAAGAUGAGGAAUCCUUGGUCUACUUCCAGGCACCAUAGCAAUCCUUGAUGUACUUCUACGUAGUAGGAAUCCUUGAAUUCUUCCUAAACAGCAGGAAUCCUUGAUCUAUUCUAGACAGUAGGAAUCCUUGAAUCCUUGCUAAGAUGAGGAAUCCUUGGUCUACUUCUAGGCGGUAGGAAUCCUUGAACUCCUACUGUACAACAGAUUUUUUUUUAAUUUAUUUUUUACAACCAUAGCAAUCCUUGAUGUACUUCUACGUACUGGGAAUCCUUGGAUUCUUGCUAAUUAGCAAGAAUCCUUGAUAUACUUCUAAACAGAUACCUUGAACCGAGUCUUGUGACUUAUUUAAUUAGGUUAUGUCAAAAAAAAUGUCUUCCAAAAAAAAACAACGACGCAUCGCAUUAUGCAACCGCGUUUCCGGAAUCAUCUGGGCGAAAAA